rnacentral:other from 1 species
GAUGGCCUGCGACGCAGGUGAUGUCGCGAACGCCUAUUUGAACCAACACUGGAUCCCAGGGCGCCCCCGUCGUCCUGCCGUUGUGCAUGCCCCGGACGGCUUGCCGUCUCGGGGAAGCCUGCAAGCAGGCGCAGGGCACCCACCUAUUCGUGGGGUUCAGGGCCUAGCGGCGCACGGCGAAGUGGACCGCUC